rnacentral:rRNA from 1 species
UGGGGAAUAUUGGACAAUGGGGGCAACCCUGAUCCAGCAAUGCCGCGUGUGUGAAGAAGGCCUGAGGGUUGUAAAGCACUUUCGUUGGGGAGGAAAGGCUCGAUGCUAAUAUCAUCGAGAGAUGACGCUACCCAAAUAAGAAGCACCGGCUAACUCUGUGCCAGCAGCCGCGGUAAUACAGAGGGUGCGAGCGUUAAUCGGAAUUACUGGGCGUAAAGCGCGCGUAGGUUGGUAGAUGUGUUGACUGUGAAAUCCCCGAGCUCAACUUGGGGCGGUCAGUCAAAACUGUCUAUCUAGAGUAUGGUAGAGGAAAGUGGAAUUUCAGGUGUAGCGGUGAAAUGCGUAGAUAUCUGAAGGAACACCAGUGGCGAAGGCGACUUUCUGGACCAAUACUGACACU